UACGUAGGGUGCAAGCGUUAAUCGGAAUUACUGGGCGUAAAGCGUGCGCAGGCGGUUUUGUAAGUCUGUCGUGAAAUCCCCGGGCUCAACCUGGGAAUUGCGAUGGAGACUGCAAGGCUGGAGUCUGGCAGAGGGGGGUAGAAUUCCACGUGUAGCAGUGAAAUGCGUAGAGAUGUGGAGGAACACCGACGGCGAAGGCAGCCCCCUGGGUCAAGACUGACGCUCAUGCACGAAAGCGUGGGGAGCAAACAGG
rnacentral:rRNA from 1 species